AACGAACGCUGGCGGCAGGCUUAACACAUGCAAGUCGAGUGCCCCGCAAGGGGAGCGGCAGACGGGCGAGUAACGCGUGGGAAUCUACCCAUCUCUACGGAAUAACGCAUGGAAACGUGUGCUAAUACCGUAUACGUCCUUCGGGGGAAAGAUUUAUCGGAGAUGGAUGAGCCCGCGUUGGAUUAGCUAGUUGGUGGGGUAAAGGCCUACCAAGGCGACGAUCCAUAGCUGGUCUGAGAGGAUGAUCAGCCACACUGGGACUGAGACACGGCCCAGACUCCUACGGGAGGCAGCAGUGGGGAAUAUUGGACAAUGGGCGCAAGCCUGAUCCAGCCAUGCCGCGUGAGUGAUGAAGGCCCUAGGGUUGUAAAGCUCUUUCACCGGUGAAGAUAAUGACGGUAACCGGAGAAGAAGCCCCGGCUAACUUCGUGCCAGCAGCCGCAGUAACAC
rnacentral:rRNA from 1 species